CUGCCCCCCGAGCUGCAGCUUGAGCUCAGGCCAAACGCCCUUCCCCUCACUCGGCGGAAGUCCCCAGAAGUGACGCACACACUAUACACCAGGCGGGGGAAGGGGAGAUGGAGACACGUGCACUUCUGGCCGUUAGGGCAGUUGGAGCAUGGUCUAUGAGGUCCCUCCCCUGCCUGUCCACAGAGCGGGGGGCUAACCCAGCAGCCCCACCCUGCCGCUUGCCCGCGGGCCGCACAGUGAGCUCAGGCAGGCCGCAUGUUGUGCAGGCCUGAUCAACAGAGCAUCCAUUUGGGAGCUGAAAUUAUUUUUAAUUCUAUUAUCAUUUCCAAUAGCUGAUGCUGUUUCACCCUAUAGACUUCAUGUUUUUGCAAAGGGCUGUUAUAUAAGCAAUUUAUAAUGUUAUUGUAACCAGAACUAGAGUGUUUAUCAUAAUAAAUAUUUAGCCCUUACAUAGUCAAUAGUAUUAAUUAUGCCGGUAGUAUAUCCAUCUACAGAUACCAGAGAUAUAGUUGUGGUAAAAUUAUCAUUGCUGGGUACCCUAGUGGAAAAAGUAAAUGACUGCAUGUCUGGUGAAAGCUUGUAUAAAAUCUGUCUCCGGCCUUUCUUACUAAAUGGAGUCAGGCAAUCUAUAUUGAUCUUACUUUUUUUCAUUCUUUGAAAUUGGAUUUUGCUUCAGGGAAGGACAAGCACAUUUGUAUACUGGAACACUUGUGACAAUUUUAUCCGUAUAUAAAACAGUUCCAUUAACUUUUCCUGUUAACAGCUAAAAACUGCAUUGCAAGGUGAAGAGACAGUAAUAAGAAAGAACAAGCUCCACUGUUAAAUAAUAAACUACAGUUUUGUAUAUACAGAACAAAUCCUACCCUGACUUGUCAGAAUUUUUCACUGUAGCUCUUGUAGUUACAGUACUUCGUAACAAUUCGCCAUGAAAAGCAUUUGGCAAAUCCCAGAAGCCUCAAGCCCCCUCUCUCCAUGAUCAGUUAUUUCUGUUUCUGACUAAAUAGCUCACAAGGUUUGUUUUCUUAAUAAUAAUAAU